AGAAAAAGGUUUUCCAGCUUCUGAGCAGCCUGGAAGGAGUUUUUCGCCGAGGGCUCCCAUGCCAGCCACUUAAAAAACCCUGGCUGGCAGCGCUGGGGUCCCAGUAGCGGGUUAUAAUGUGCCGGGAGGAGGUGGCGGGCAUGUGCCCACGUUCCUGCAGUGCCCCGCCGCAGGUGUGGGGCAGCAGGCUCAGCCGUGGGAGUCCUUGGGGACAUCGAAGCUGCCAAAGGCAUGUGAUGACUGUACAGACCCAGAAACAUGGCCAGCGGCGAGACAGGCAGAGCUGACAUGCCGACAUGCUGCCAAUGCGGACACCGCCACGUGCCCUUUCCCCGGGCACAGGAGGCUGCACGCUGCGGGCAAGCCUGACCCUGUUGCCCCCUGCCCGGCCGUGCAAAGGGGGGCUGACCCCCAGGGGCUGGCUCCCAGGGCAUGCUGCGGUGCCGCACGUGGCUCCUUGCUGAAAGCAUGGUGACACCUUCCUGGGGGUAUGCACGGGGCCAGAGUGCUGCCCAGCAGGGCCAGCAGCAGGGCAGAGGCUUUGCAAAAGCAUAGGGUGGCAGGAAGGUCCCUGCAGCACCUCCCCUGGCUCUGGGUCCCUGUGGCUGUUCCCACACUUGGCUGGAGCUCAAGGCUGGCCUGGCCGUGGCUGGUAUGGAGAUAACCCCGCACUGGCCAAGGCUGCUCCCAAACCUCAUUCCUGACUGAUGGAUGCCACAAGCUUGAGGCUCCAUGGGGCUGUUUCCCUCCUUCUUUCCUACCAAGAACCAGGGGCAGCAGACGGGGAGCCUGGCACAUUGCAUAGGGUGGUUUCUGCUCCGGUUCCCAACUGGGUGCACCCGGCCGGGGGCCGGUGCCGGAUGCAGGGGCUCACGCCAGAGACACACCAUCUGCUUCUCGUCAGGCUGCUGGGAGCGCCGGGGCCUGGCAGUGGGACGCGGUUGUGAUAGAUGGUCUGUUUAUCACGUUUCAGUUCUGCUCAGGA